rnacentral:lncRNA from 1 species
UUUUUUUGGAUACAACACUUUCUUAAAAAAUUAAACAAACACUAUGUUUCAAAAAAUAAACACCUUCGCCCUAAUUCUUUAAUUGAAAAAAGAAUUAAGUUUUCCUUCAAUUUCACUCUCACAUAGAACUUGAUCGACCGACCGACGGCUCGCUGCAUCUUCCUCAAUCGACGGCCAUCUCUUCGAUCACGUCACUUUAGUUACCCAUCUCAACCUCUCCGACGACUCCUCCGACAGUUCCCCAACCCUCCUCGUCAGCGUCACCAUCGCCACCGUCUCAAACUCAGGAACACCAUCUUCUCACCACCAUCUUGACUAACCCUCCAUUGUUCUUUGAAUCCUCCAUUGUUAAACCC